rnacentral:rRNA from 1 species
UGGGGGAUAUUGCACAAUGGGCGAAAGCCUGAUGCAGCGACGCCGCGUGGGGGAUGAAGGCUUUCGGGUUGUAAACCUCUUUCGCUAUCGAACAAGGCCCGCUUAGGGUGGGUUGAGGGUAUGUGGAGAAGAAGCGCCGGCUAACUACGUGCCAGCAGCCGCGGUAAUACGUAGGGCGCGAGCGUUGUCCGGAAUUAUGGGGCGUAAAGGGCUUGUAGGCGGCUUGUUGCGCCUGCUGUGAAAACGCGGGGCUUAACUUCGCGCGUGCAGUGGGUACGGGCAGGCUUGAGUGUGGUAGGGGUGACUGGAAUUCCAGGUGUAGCGGUGGAAUGCGCAGAUAUCUGGAGGAACACCGAUGGCGAAGGCAGGUCACUGGGCCAUUACUGACGCUGAGGAGCGAAAGCAUGGGUAGCGAACAGG